AACGAACGCUGGCGGCAUGCCUAACACAUGCAAGUCGAACGAGACCUUCGGGUCUAGUGGCGCACGGGUGCGUAACGCGUGGGAACCUGCCCUUAGGUUCGGAAUAACUCCCCGAAAGGGGUGCUAAUACCGGAUAAUGUCUUCGGACCAAAGAUUUAUCGGCUUUGGAUGGGCCCGCGUUGGAUUAGCUAGUUGGUAGGGUAAAAGCCUACCAAGGCGACGAUCCAUAGCUGGUCUGAGAGGAUGAUCAGCCACACUGGGACUGAGACACGGCCCAGACUCCUACGGGGAGGAGCAGUGGGGAAUAUUGGACAAUGGGCGAAAGCCUGAUCCAGCAAUGCCGCGUGAGUGAUGAAGGCCUUAGGGUUGUAAAGCUCUUUUACCCGGGAUGAUAAUGACAGUAACGGGAGAAUAAGCUCCGGCUAACUCCGUG
rnacentral:rRNA from 1 species